UUAAGCAUAUCAAUAAGCGGAGGAAAAGAAACUAACAAGUAUUCCCUCAGUAACGGCGAGCGAAGUGGGAAGAGCUCGAGCCUGAAAUCUCUGGCAGUUGCUGUCAGCGAAUUGUGGCCGGGAGAGGCAGCUUAAGCUCUGACCGGUGCUGUCGAAGUUGACCUGGAAAGGCACGUCGUAGAGGGUGAGAGCCCCGUGUGCGGCACCGCCGGGCAGAGCUGCUACUGUCUUCGGAGAGUCGGGUUGUUUGGGAAUGCAGCCCAAAGUGGGUGGUAAACUCCAUCUAAAGCUAAAUACUGGCACGAGACCGAUAGCAAACAAGUACCAUGAGGGAAAGGUGAAAAGCACUUUGAAAAGAGAGUCAAAAAGACCGCGAAACCGUUAGGAGGGAAACGAAUGCGGCUGAAUUAGCUCUGUUUCAGGCUCAGGAGAUGACGGCGGAUACGUCGGGUCGUGGGAGCUUCGGCGCUGCGGCUCGGAUACGACGCCGUCUCCUCUGCAUUCCUGUAGAGAGCUGGCCAACGACGGUUGUUUCUGGCUCAGAAGGGCGACCGGGCAGGUGGCUCCCUUCGGGGAGACCUUAUAGCCGGCCGUCUGGCAGACUGGGGGCGACCGAGGAGAGUUGCGAAUUUCGCACGUGCAGUGCAAGCCUUUAGGGGCCGUGCCGCCUUUGCUCGUCUGGGCGUCGGACCGUUGACUGCGUGCAGUGUUCGGUGACGACUCGUCUGUUCGAGCGGGGGACCGGUGACGUUUUGCUCUGCAGUCGUUGGUGCUCAAAUGGCCGCAUCCGACCCGUCUU
rnacentral:rRNA from 1 species